rnacentral:lncRNA from 1 species
GGAGAUAGUCCUCUGCUGCUGAAUCUGAAAGUUUCUGGGUGUAACCUGGGCACUUCAAGGUUCAGAAUUUUUGCCAAGUGUUUAAGUCAGAGCAGAACUUGGAACAUCAGUUUGAUGCAGGGGAGCUGACAUUGCUCCUUGUGCUACCAGAAGGAAAUAUUGCACUGGAAGGCCUCCUGUUCCCCUUGAAACAAGCAGCUGCCAGCAAACAGAUUCUGCAAGCCUUGGAAAAGGUAGCAACUUCUUUCAAACCAUGAAGGAGAUGCUCAGCAGAAUGCUGUAUAGCCUGGAUUAACAGUUAAUGUGUUUGUGUUGGUAAGAGCUUGGGAAAACAAGUGACUCCACUGAUGCUGACAGAAGUCUAAUUCCCUGAUCAGAGAUGUAAGUGAUGAGAAGCAUGUUCUCUGCAUGCAACUGACAAACAAGUGUGACCACACUCCAUACUGGAUAUUGUGUUUAUGCUCCUCCAGUGCAGUAAUGACAGAGAAACCAUAAGUAAUCAAGACACACUGUGCAUUCCAGGAGAAACUGCCACUUGCUCAUGUCUGGCUUCAUCCUGUAAAGCGGAAAACAGCAGCGAUUGUGUGACUCUAUUCAAGUGCUAUGUGUUGUUCUGCAUCUUUCUUCUCUGCACCCCAAACUAAAAACUUUCAAAUAAAAAUAACUGAAAAACAGAAUAUUGUAUUCCU